rnacentral:lncRNA from 1 species
CCAAACUGGAGGAUCCACAAUGAGUGAACCUCCCUUCAUCUUAUCAGGAGAAAGAAACCACCACAAUAUAGAGCAUGAUUCUCACCAGGAAAUGAAAACACUUGGUUCAUCCCUGGAGAGAUGCCACAGACGUGCAUUGUCAGAGCUGCCGUUACAACAUGGAUCACUGACUCAUGGCCAGGUGCCCUGGUUGAUUACCAUGCCCUCGGGGACAGAAAUAAGGUACAGUACCUGACUACGAUCUGACUUUUCACACUUAACAAGCUGAAUAGAAUCUGUGUGGGAGGUAAACUAUUGUCUCUGAACAACUUUCAGCAUCCUAUCUGAUGUCUGCUUUAGUUCUGUAUCGUGUUUUCAAAGCAGAACAUUGUUUUUAGCCUGGAUUUGGUGGGAAUCUGUUCCCACUAAAUCAUGGGCCAAUUUUUCCUCCUACAGGUAUAUUCUUUGAUAUAUCAGUGAAUAUAUUUGUCUUGUGCAAAACCCUAUUUAGAUUUGAUAAUUUCUUCUCCCCUCCUAGUUCCCUUUCAAAUAAUAACCUGGGUAUUCUGUGUUGUCUAUGUGCCAGAUCCUGUCCUAAGAUAUUUGUGGGGACUGUCUUGUUUCAUUCUUACUAAAGCUCUAGUGACCAAGUGCUAUAACCCUAAUUUUUCCAAUGAGGGAACUAAGUUUGAGAGUUUACAUGACUUGCCCAAUGUCACUUCACUAAGAAAUAUUUACUUUGAGGUCUUUGUAACUUAAAAUCUGCAAAAUUGGGAGAAUGGUGUACUUUCUAAAGGCUGCCAAGCACAGAAUCACUGUUUCUUUAGUGUACUUCUAAGACAUGGAGUUUACUGAGGUGAGUGGAACUAUGUCGACUCAUCCCCACCUGCUAUUCUACGACCUAUUGGGUGCCACCAAUACCUCAUAUUGUCCUAUUUAAACUGUGGGCCCAGACAUCCAGUGGGUGAGUAGAGAGUCUCACACAGGAGAACAAGCCAGCUGUGUUGUUUGCUACAUGCCCUCUUGGUGGCUACUCUGUUUAGAAUUGGUCAGUAUAAUACUUGGCUGGUGACUCUGACCUAGAACUUUGAGUUCUAACUGCCCACCUGAGGAAUUCCUGGCUCCUAGAAAUAAUUUAGGAUGUCUAGAAAGUGUGAGGUCCACAAUGUAUAAUGCCAUGUGUUGGAGUAAACACCUCAUACGUGGACUAUUACAAACUAUGAACUUUGCUCAAGUUCUCCUUCAUUUCAUAUUCAGGGGUAUUGAAGCCAGGCUUACUCCUGUCUUUGCCUUUUUAUUGUCCAGCUUGUCUAAUGUAAUGUAUCAUUAUAAAUAAAUAAUGAUAAAUAAUCAUCAAUAAGUCUAUGCAUUUCCAGGAGAUUUUAUACAUCCAGCCAAAAACAAUGAGGUAAAUUAUUGUGUGGCAUCAUAAUAAUGUAGCCACAAUAUGUGGUUGAGUGAAAAAAAGUUAAUACAGAACAGUAGGUAAAGUCAAUUCCCAUUUCAAAAACUGUGUGUGUGUGUAUGAAUAGGAAAUAUUAGGAAUAGGAAAAAAUAACUGGAAAUAUUUAUAAUACUGACUGCUAUGUGUCUCUAUGUAGUUUUUCCAAAGUAUUGUGUCCAUAUUACUUCCUUUUAAGCAUCACAUUUACAACCUGAAACAAAAACAGGUCUCUAAGUUUAUAAUUUAUAACCACUAGUUCUCCAGAUUCUGGAUGUUAGCUUUAAAAAUCUGUAGUUUGUUGAAGUUGAGUUCUGCUUUUUUUUCUUUCUUUUGGUGUCAUCACUGUUUUCAAACUUUCUGUAAUUCUGAGAAAUUCUUUCAAUUCUGAAGAGAAAGAAAAAAAAAAAAAAAAGAAUAAGCCAGGAGAUCCUCUUGGUGUGGUGGAACUAUUUUAACAGACAGAUGUAUA